rnacentral:piRNA from 1 species
UUUCAGUUCGAUUGGGCCAGCUGAAGGUGG